CCGCCCCUCGGCAUUCCGCCUACGCGGAGGAAUGACUGCGUGCAAAACCAAUCGCUGCAGGGGAGAGGCGGGGUCAUGCAGAUACUGACCGGGGCGGGGCGGGCGAGAAGGAGGGAAGGGCGUGGCCGAGGAAAGGCUAGUUUACAAACAGUGAGUCAGGUGAUCCCGGGCGUAGGCGCUUGUUGGCGUGCGCGCCGGGAGACUCACCCCUCCUCUGUUUUCCCCUGGUGUGUGCAUGUGUCAGAGGGGUGUCCUCCACACACCCGGAACGGGGUAAAUGCCAAAUAUCGUCUCCCCCACCUUUGCAUGACCCUCGUCGCUUGCCAAAAUCCAGCGUCAGUGUAGCCCUCCACCUGCAGCUCUGACUCGUUUAGAACCCUUUAGGCUGCACUGGCCUCCCUGGCCCCGUCGGCGUACCAGAAGCUCAGGUGGCACACCUGGAGCUUGUAUCCCUGCCUGCUGUUAUCCAGCCUCUCUAAACCUCCUCAGCGAACAGACCAGAAGUCAGAUGACUCUCAUCUGCCUACAGACCACCCCAGAUUGAAGCCUUCGGCUCCUGAUAAGAGUGUUGUCACCCGAGGAGCAAGAAACAUAGGAAUGAAGCCAAAGAUCAGGAGGAAUAAAAGCAAAUAUCACUGGGCCACCUGGAA